CAUAAAUUUAUUGACUGUAUGACGUUAAAAACGUCCAGAUUAAAACAAACCGGUGUUCUUGUACAAUCCAACCACUUACUCGUCUCUCAUCAAAACCAAUUUCCUUGUUCUGUUCAGAUUGACAUUUUAAAAUAUAUAAUUCGGAAUACGUCUGUACAGUCCACAUAUAGAUCUUGGAUUGAUCUCACGGAUUGAAUUUGAAGCUCAAUCAUGGUAUUUUUUCCCUGUAAAUUUCAUAGAUUUCGUGAUGAAUUUUUCAUAAAACAACAUCACAGAGUUUCAGAUUUGUAGAGAUUCUUCAAUUUACAGAUUUUAAAAAAAAAAGUUAUAAAGAGAGUUUACAGGAUUUCAUUUGAGGUAUAGAUUGGAAAUAUUAUAUUGAUUGAUGUUGUUGUCUGAGGGUUUGGAUUUAACAGAGUGAUGAUGAAUUUUGGAGUAACACAGAAAGGAGGUGGUUCAGGGUUUCCUGUAAUUCCUAAAUCACUUGCAUCAAUUGUAGUUUCAGUUGGUGGAUUAGCUUUGUUUGUCAUUUUUGCUUCAUGUCUUUUGAUAUCUAACCCUGCUAGUACUCCUGUUAAUGGUUCUUCUUUAUUCAGCAUUAGUAAUAAUUCAACUAAAUCUGGUUUCGAUUCGUCGCCAUUGGUAGGUCUUGACAAUAACAAUGAGACUGUUACUUUGCUUACUCAGAAACCACCUUCAGAUAGUGUUGAUGAUGAGAAAUUACCCUCGAUUAGUUCUGAUAAGAUAGAUUCAGAUGCAAGUGUUGAGAUUAAAGAAAAGGGUGUUGAAACAGGACCAAUUGAUAACAAACCACCUGAUGUUUCUUCUGAUAAGCCAGAAGAGAUACUUCCCAAGGAUUCUGACAAGAUUGAUUUAGGAGAAAAAGGAAAACAAGAGAUAACUUCUAACAUUCCAGAGGAGAUUCCAGUUCCAUCACCUCCAUUAUCUGAUGUAACUAGUAAAAUUGAUUCAGGAGAAAAGGGUGUUGAAGCGGGAGGCGAUGACAAGAUAACUGAUUCUGAAUUUCCUUCGACUACAAAAAAGGAAAUUACAGUUCCUUCUCCUCCAUUGUCGAAGGAUUUAGGAGAAGAGGGAGUAAAGCAGGAGUUAUCGGAUUCUACUUCUCAUACACCAGAGGAAAUUUCAGUUCCUUCACCUCCAGUAUCUAUUUUAUCUAACGAAACUGAUACAGGAAAGAAGGGUUUUGAAACCGAAACUGAUACAGGAAAUAAGGGUUUUGAAACUGAAGACAAUGGCGGGGUAUCUGGUUCAGAAUCACCUUCUAAAACGGAAGAGGAAAUUCCAACUCCUUCUCCUCCAUUAUCAAAGGACUCUAGCAAGACCGCUUCAGGUGACUGUGAUCUCUUCCAUGGAAAAUGGUUUUAUGAUCCAGAAGGCCCUCUUUAUACAAACAACUCAUGUCCAGUCAUAACACAGAUGCAGAAUUGCCAGGGAAAUGGUAGGCCUGACAAGGAAUAUGAAAGUUGGCGAUGGAAGCCAUCACAGUGCGACCUCCCACGAUUUGAUGGCAAAAAAUUCUUAGAAUUGAUGAGAGGGAAGACACUUGCUUUCAUUGGCGACUCAGUUGCGCGGAACCAGAUGGAAUCUAUGCUAUGCCUUCUUUGGCAGGUGGAAGUUCCAAAAAAUCGUGGGAACAAGCAUAUGCAACGUUGGUACUUCAGGUCAACCUCUGUCAUGAUUGUCCGAAUAUGGUCAUCUUGGCUCGUUGGUAGGUCAGCAGAGCCCGUCGAUGUUGCCCCUGCUUCAGUUGUCAAACUCCACCUAGAUUCUCCAGAUGAAGACUUUUUCCAAUACCUCCCAAGUUUUGAUGUGGUUGUCCUCUCUUCUGGCCAUUGGUUUGCCAAGCAAUCUGUCUACAUGCUCAAUAAUGAAGUUGUUGGUGGGCAGCUAUGGUGGCUUGACAAAAGCCGCCCAAUGAAAGUCAACAAUAUAGAAGCAUUUGGUAUCUCUACAGAGACAAUUCUCACAGCUAUGUCAACUUAUCCCAACUACACUGGCUUAACAAUAGUCCGUGCGUUUUCACCUGAUCAUUAUGAAGGUGGGGCUUGGAACACAGGUGGAUCUUGCACUGGGAAGGUGAAACCUGCAACCGAAUUGGUAGAAAACGGGUUUACAAAUAUAAUGCAUGAGAAACAGGUGACGGGAUUUAAACGAGCAGUUGAAAAGUCGAAAAAUGGGUCAAAGUUGAGGUUAAUGGACAUCACAGAAGCUUUUGGUUACCGACAUGAUGGCCAUCCAGGACCAUACAGGAGUCCUGACCCAAACAAGAAAACAAAACGUGGCCCAAAUGGAGAGCCGCCGCCACAGGAUUGCUUGCACUGGUGCAUGCCAGGUCCAGUUGAUACAUGGAAUGAGAUUGUUCUUGAGAUCAUACGCAGAGAAUUUGAGGACAAUGUUACUUCCCCUGCAUAAGAUGCAUGUCCACGUAACUUCGUCAAUCUGCAUCUUGUUGUUGUAAUUUAAAAGGGAAAAUUUGUUUAAUUCUUGAUCACAGGUAUAUUUAAUUGUUGAGCAACUUGCGCUGGACCUGCUAAUCUUCGUCGAGAGACGGAUACCAUUGGCAGCAAAAGAUUGUAGUCUUAACAUCGGGCAUGGCAGACUCUAGCCAGAAGUUCCAGCGAGUUGUUUUUGAGAUGACUGAGUUGUUAGGAGAUGAUGAUGGGGUUCUAUUCGUUGAGAUGGAAACUAAGAAAUUGAGGAAGAGGUUUCCUUCAGAUAGACCAAUUUGUAGUGCUCGUGGAUGUGGUAUUCUUAUCAAGUACACCUACAGAUGUGUAUGUGAGAAGAUGUAUUUAGUUCACAACUCCCGCAGCAAGCAACCCGGCGGCGGUCCUAUGGAGUAUGUAACUUGUUGCCCAUGUGGUGCGCGAGAUCGAGUCAUAUUUCGAGACCACUGAAUUUAUUUUACCAUUAGUAAAAUAAAUUACACUCACUAAAAUAAAAGAGGAGGUUGUGUCUAUUUAUUUUACUUUUCUUCAUCUGCCAAUUUGAGUAAUUUUUUUUCUUCCUGUGUAUGUAUUUAUCUCUAAGCUCAAUGAAAAGUGUUUGUCA